CACGUAGGCGGCUUCUUAAGUCGGAUGUGAAAGCCCCGGGCUUAACCUGGGAAUUGCAUCCGAUACUGGGUAGCUAGAGUAAGGGAGAGGGAAGCGGAAUUUCCGGUGUAGCGGUGAAAUGCGUAGAUAUCGGAAGGAACACCAGUGGCGAAGGCGGCUUCCUGGCCCAUUACUGACGCUGAGGUGCGAAAGCGUGGGGAGCAAACA
rnacentral:rRNA from 1 species